rnacentral:rRNA from 1 species
CUCCGCCACCUUGUGCCCUGCUCGCGCACGCUAGUUGACGUGCACCUGGCACUGCAUGUCCCACUUGACAAGAUCUCCUUUAGGGACACGCCCAAUAUUGAUAAUAUCGUGCUCUUGUGCGUCGAUGUGUGGCGGCUGUAUCCCAAUAUCAUGGCCGAAGCUGGCCUGCCCUCUAAGCUCCCAACGGUUCACCUCACACUUCCAAUGCUGGACUCGCCAAGCUUUGCCGUCAUGCCUAGGAGUUCAAUACCCAUCGUAACCACCCUCAUUCUCCACAUGAAGUUCAGUGAUUGCGACGAACUGAGCAAGGCUGCCGGCAUGUUAAGCUUAUUUCCAUCUCUGCAGGACCUUCGGAUUUGGUGCCUCAGCUCCGGCUCCAAGGAUAAGCUGGAUGCGUGUGGACCGUGGCCACCGGCAGUAGCCACGACAAUUAUCUGCCUACAUAACCAUCUCAAACAUGUGCGAUUACUAGGGUAUUGUGGCACCAGAGGGGAGAAGCAAUUUGCAAGGUUUCUUAUGGCUGGAGCAAAAGCUCUGACGGGCAUCCAAAUUAUCCAUGCCACUAACUGGAGCCAUCAGAGUAUCAACAAUCAGAGAGACUUUAUAUGUUCACGCGGUAAAGGCUCGUCCAAAGCUCAAGUCAUCUUUCGGAGGAGCAAAACCAUAGACAAGAACAGAAGAAAAGCUGACAGUUUU